rnacentral:tRNA from 1 species
GGGGCUGUAGGGUAGCUUGGUAUCCUACCAGCUUGGGGUGCUGGCGACCUGAGUUCAAAUCUCAGCAGCCCCA